AUAUUGGCCAGAGACCGAUAGCGCACAAGUAGAGUGAUCGAAAGAUGAAAAGCACUUUGGAAAGAGAGUUAAAAAGCACGUGAAAUUGUUAAAAGGGAAGGGAUUGCAACCAGACUUGCUCGCGGUGUUCCGCCGGUCUUCUGACCGGUCUACUCGCCGCGUUGCAGGCCAGCAUCGUCUGGUGCCGCUGGAUAAGACUUGAGGAAUGUAGCUCCCUCGGGAGUGUUAUAGCCUCUUGUGAUGCAGCGAGCGCCGGGCGAGGUCCGCGCUUCGGCUAGGAUGCUGGCGUAAUGGCCGUAAUCCGCCCGUCUUGAAACACGGACC
rnacentral:rRNA from 1 species